CACACCACACGGCCGCUGAGACGUCAACAGAAGCCGCCAUUAAUUUCUGACUUCUACAACAGGAAUUGCAGUGCAACAGUGCCAGUCAUCAAAUACAGACAAGAAUUGACUUUUAUUAACUUAUGUCUAACAGAACUCUUUUGACUGCAACUUCAAUGUAAGAUGCUCUGUAACCCUAGAGGAGGUGGAGACUGAAAACUGAAGUCAUCCUUGCUGGUUUCUUUAGAGGAUUGAUGCAGAAGAGUGAAGGGCUGUCUGCUACCUGAUGCAGCCAACAGUCUCUUUCAAACCUAGGGAGCUGGAAGGUUAGGUGAUCAGUGCCGAGAAGUGGAUAUAGCAUGGCAGCAGGAGUUGAUGCCUUAAGAGGUGUUGGAGUGGGUCACACGUUAGCCCAGCAUCAAGUGCCACAACAAUAUCCUACUUCUCCUUGGAAAGGCACAUGUUAUCAUUAUGGAUCCUCUGCUUCAAGGCAGUUAAUUACAUCAUCAAUAUAGGUACAUCUUUCGAGAGAGAGAGAAAGUGGGCCGGUGAUCUGUGAAGAUGUGGCACCACUGGUUUCCACGCCCUGCCGGUGAUCUGUGGAGAUGUGGCACCACUGGUUUCCACGCCCUGUCUGCCAUUUCUCACAGCAGCUAGUAUAGGCAUCUCAUUUUCAGACCACUCUUCACUACCAUCCUGAUACGCUUCUUCCCACACCUGCUAUUCCUAACCUUCCAUAGAAACACCUUCCUAACUAUUCUUAGUUCACUUUUGCUAUAUAACCUAGCCUUGAAUCUCAAUGUUGCUUUUACAUGCCUCUCUCUGAAAGUACUCCAUUCCAUGUCUCCCCACUCAACGCCUUUAUCACUGCAUACCCUGGUGCAUUAAGUGCCCCACUAGCUACUAUUCUGUCCUACUACUUGUAACUUAACUUCAUUUUCAUUCCAUGCAACAGCCACGCUCUUCCAAAACUUCUUGCAGUAUGUCAUAUUUGUGUGCUGCAGUUCCUAGUUGGCCUAUCGGCUGGUUCACCAAGCUCAUCUUUUCAUUCUUCACUUUCACACAGCCAUUUGGACUUGUCCACAUUCCCAGACACUUGUAUUUAUCAGUCUGUUGCACCUCAGUCUCUCCCAGUCUCCCCACAUGGAGUUUCUCUCAUCAUCUGACCUUCUCACAAUCAUUUCUUGCUUUUUCCGAUUGCUAAAUUAAACUCUAAAACUCUAAAGUCUCUUCUAUACCCAUCUACAACAGACUUUGGAGCAUACAAGAACACACAUCAUUUCCCUACCCCUUACUUCUGCAUUCAUCCUUCUCAUUCUGGCAGCCAGUUCCUCUGUAUGUAAAUUAAAGAAGGUUGGUGACAGUAUACAACCUUUCUUAACUACUUUUUCACUCUUUACCCAGUCUGUUUCUUUAUCCUUUAGUCUGUAUCUAGCCCUUUUGCCCACAUGCCAACUAUCUCUGCACUCCUCUAAUCUUUUCUAAGACUGCUUUAACAUUCUUCUAUUCACCCUGUCAUGUGCUUCUCUAUAUCCAGAAAAGCUAA